GAAACACGCAAACUCGUAUUCAUCUUUUGAAUUAAAAUCAUGUAGUACAACACUCGGUGGGGACAGCUAGCGCAUUGGGAGCUUGUUAUUAAGAUUCUUGGCAAUAGGCUGUAAAUUCUCUACAAGUUUUAGACCCGAUGUCACUCUUUUUAAGACCCAGACAUUUGGGAGCAGAUGCAGCAAUACAUUACAUUCAUUUUUAAUGCAGGAAGAGUCACUCCCUGAUAAAAGUCUCUGAAAAUUCAGACCACAAUCUGGCCGUAACCAACAGAGCAAGGGGUGGAUGGCUAGAAACGAGCAGGGAAUUUUAAGUCUGAGAGGAAUUUGCAGGAUACUAUGAGGCUUCAUCCUCUAGAAUGUUCUCUGAAGAACAUCUCUUUCUUGUCUUUUGGAACUAACCUGGUGCAAGAGGAAAAUUGUCUUUAUCAAAAAGGGUCAGCUGUAUUUUUUUUUAAUCCACCAAAAUUUUAGAAAAUAAUUCCCUCUGGUUACACUGACAAGAGACUUUUUUCUUUUUAAUUUAAGGCAGAUUGGAGGUAUAAUUUACAAAUAGUAAAAUCACCCUUUUAGUGUACAGUCCUGUGAAUUCUGACAAACAUAUACAAUCGUGUAGCCACCGUCACAAUCAAGAUAUACAACACUUCCAUUACCCCCCAACUCCCUUCAUGUUCCUCUGGGCUAAGGUGUUCCUGAUGUUUAAUCCCUUAAAAAAUUUUUUUUAUUUUAAAAUUCUUUUCCAUUAUGGUUUAUUACAGGAUAUUGAACAUAGUUCCCUAAUCCCUUUGAAAGCUUAGCCCACAGAAACUGCACAGCUGACAAUGGUGCUGCUUUAAAACCUUUGGGGGGACUUCCCUGGCGGUCCAGUGGUCAAGACUCCGUGCUUCCACUGCAGGGGUGUGGGGUUGAUCCCUGGUCAGGGAACUAAGAUUCCACAAGCUGCGAUGAGCAGCCAAAAAAUAAAAAAUAAAAAAAUAAAUAAAACCUUUGGGUAUUUUCUAUAAUUUCAGAAUUCCUGGGAAAGAUUCUUACUGUGAAAUUGGGAUUUUGUUUUUUCAGGGUUCUUUUAGGGAGUGGGAACACUAAGACGCCAGCAGACGGACUCGGAAGUAGGCGUGUACCUGUGUUUGUCACACUUGGAAACUGGCUUGGUCUGGCCUGGUCCUGGGGAGAGUCGUCUUCCCCAAACCCAGUGGUACUUCUGGCAGCCGUGAGAGUCCUUUGAGGCUCGCCCCAGCCCUUCUGAAAGGCUCUGAUUUCACAGAUGCCAGCAAGGGCCACAAGGAGUAAACCUGGGCAAGUUUAGCUUGAUACCUGACCCAGCUAUUUAUUAGAGGCAGAGGGAGAGCUAAGAAAAACCCUGAAGCAGGCUAAACAGAAUCUCUGUGUAUGAAACUGAAAGGGUCUUAAUUAAAUUACAAAGUAGUACUUGCUCACGAUAAUAACAGCUAACAUUUAUAUAGCUUUCACUGUGGGUCAGGCACCGUUUUUAGCAUUUUAAGUAUACUAAUUCAUCAACCCUGUGAGUCAUGACUUUCAUUUUAGAGUCAAGGAAACUGAGGCACAGGGAAGUUAAAUCAUCAACCCAGUUACCCAGCUGGUAAGAGGAGGAGCUCGGAUUCAAAGCCUGGCAGCCUGACUCCGGAGCCUUCCCUGACAGAAGGAUAAACGCGGGAUCUAGAAUGCCCUUCCCCGGAAAUGGGGAGGUGUUAAAGAGUACAAACUUGCAACUAAAACAUGAAUAAGUUCUGGAAAUCUAAUGUACAGCAUAGUGAUUAUAGUUAACAAUGCUGUAUGAUAUACUUCAAAGCUGUUAAGAAACCAGAACUUAGAUGUUCUCACCACAAAAAAGAAAUGAUAAUUAUGUGAUGUGAUAGAGGCAUUAGCUAAAACUAUGGUGGUAAUUAUAAUACAUAAAUGUAUCAAAUCAAUGUGCUGUCCACCUUAAAUUUAUAGAAUGUUAUAUGUCAAUUAUAUCUCAGUUGAAAAAAAAUUAAUAAAUAAAAUGCCCUUUCCCCACUGGCCUCCAGCCCUCCUCUGAAGCAAGCCUGUUACGAGCUUCUUGGCAGUCAGUUCCAGAAACGCUCUUUGCAUAUACAGUUCGCUUUUGCUAAUGGGAUCAUCCUCUAUUGCUCUGAAACUUGUUUUUAUAACUUAACAACAUGCCUUGGACACCUUAGAAAGAGCUUUUUGAAUUACCUAUUGUCUUCGUUUUAAGGAUGAAAAAACCUGAGGCGUCUAGAGGUUAAGCGCCACGUCCACGUUGGUUCUCUUCAGGGUUUUGGAUCAGCAGCCCUCCCUGGCCUCCUGUUCUGCCUCAAAAUUUAUUUUGACACCUGACCCCCUUGGGUGCUGACUUAUCUCUUGACUGUGCUGUUCCACUGGAUGGUGUCCUACGAUGGCCACCAACCUUUCCAUCUUCUCGUCUCUAUAUCCUGUCUCUCUAGGAUCUUGCUUUUAGUCAGGUAAUAAUGGAUAGAAAUGAGUGGAUAGGAUAAACCAGGGUGUCCCAAACUUCAACCAUUCUGGUACAACUUUUGUGACUUUUGUCAUCUUCUCAUGCUACCUGUGUUAUUAUUUAAUAUUUUUCAUUAAGUUAAUUCACUAUAUUAUUUACUAUACUAUUUCUCAGUGAACAUUUCUUUUAAAUUAACUCACUAUUAAACCCUGGGUGUGCCAGUUAUAACUUUUACAAUACAUAUUAAACACGAGCAUUAAAAUUAAAAAAAAAAAAAUCAAGGCACAUACGACUCAGCAGUGGUGCAAAACCUAUACUUUUGGGGAAAUAUAAACUAGUCCUUCUAUGCUAGCCAGAUCACAGCUUUUCAAACUUAUCUAAGGGAAGGACGAAUUUUUAAGAAAAAAAUUUCCAAUCCGUCAUGGACCAAUAUUUUGUAAAAUAACAAUGACUUAUUAGAAAAAUGAAUCCGUUUAAAAAAGACACACAAAAUACAAUCUUAGAAACAAUAGACAUAACACCACUAUCAGAUUGCUAUAAGUGUUUCUAAGCGCUUACUCUAAAUUUCUGUACUUAUUUUUGGGGGACUCUAACCAGGAGUUGGAGGAUCACACUUGGAAUAGCAAUGAGCUAAUCAAUGGUCUCUUCUUCCAACUAGGUUCCAGCCUUAGAUGGGUUAUAAAAAAUGUGUACCAUGGAAGCCUAGGCAAGAGACUUUUCCUCUCUGAGCUCCAGUUUCCUCAAGUGAAAAGUGAAGGGCCCAUCACUGGGAGGCUCCUUAGCAGCAAAGGCCUCACAUACUGGGGGGAUGCGUCUGGGAGACCUUCCGUAUCACUGCGGGGAGGGCUGCCGGCUUCCUGGAAGAGGGUGCACUAACUUCUGAGGAUGGGUCCAUCAGGGGGCCAGGAUGAGCCCAGAGAAGAAAUUCCUUAGGAAAGUACACACGGAACUGCGAGGAUGGAUUUAAAGGGCGAAUCCAAGCUCCAGAGGGCUGAAGGCAAUGAGGCAAUCAAUGCAAGAGGAGAAGCAGAAAAGGCUGCUCAACCCAAGAAGAAGCCAAAGGUGUAACAUACCUUUUGGUACAAGAGGAGAAAAGAGGGACAAGAGGAGAUGAGCACCUCGAUCUGGUCAACAGCCCAACUUUAUUCUAGACACCUCCACAAAAACACCUGCUCACGGAACUAGCCUGGAACGGAAUCUUCAGUACCUCCGAAGUAAGCCUGUACAGCUCAAGUCAGCUGAAGAUCAGAGCUUUCUAAGCCAAAAUGUUUUGUUUCCGUCCGCCACGCUUAAUGGGGUGACAAUAACUCUCCCAGAGGAUGCUUGACAGAAGCACAGAGAUGAUGAGUACACAAGGAGGAAACUCAGAUUCCUCACUCUCAAAGGACUCUAAGAGGUUCAGACUUAUAUUUGUGACACACACCAUGUACCUCUGAGAAAACGGUAUCAGCUGAAAGAAUGAAAAACAGAGGCACAUUUUGGAGAAGUACUGGGAUAGCUGACGUCCAAGGUUCUUUUAACUCUCAAUUCUUUGAGAUACAAGUCUAGCCUUACAAGAAGUUUCAUGAUGCCAAGCCAUGGCAGAAUUCCUAGAAGUGGAGCUUCCAAGGAUUAGUGACCUGGAGUCUUCUACUUUGCCUGGUGCCACUUGAUGGUACAGACUCUAUUCUUCUCAACUAACGUAGGGCCUGGAGUCCAAGGGACACUCAAUACAUGAAUAAAUACAUGCAGGCCUGAGGCUGGACAGAGGUGGAGGCCUGCAGCUAUUAUCUCCUUCGCUCUCCACUAACCUUGGGAAAACACAGAACUUGAUCACCUACCAGGUGUUCCCAGAUCCGCGUCAGUUUCUCCGAAUAAGGAAUUUUAAGGAUGAAUGAGACUGCAGAGAUCAGAGUCCACACCAUCAUUUACAGAAGAGGAGAUGGGGGUCCAGAGAGGUUAAGUGACCUGCCUCUGUCACACAGCAGGCAGCAGCAGGGCUGGUGCCAGAAGCCCGGUCUCUCUUUCCAUGGUCCAGUGUCAUUAUGGCCUUAAGCCUCAUUUUAAGUUCAGAGGAGGAUUUCACUUAAUUCCUCUCUAUAAGCAUAAGAAGAGGUGGAAGGAAGAGGGGUAGAGAGAAGGCUGUGAUGUGGAGGGAAGCAGUUGAGGGUAGGGUUUGUAUUGCUGUUGGGGAUGUUAUUAUAAUCAAAGGCCGAAGAAAAGUGGAUUGAGACCCCGAGG